GGGCCAGAAAUGGUCAACUCUUUGGACACUCGUAAACAGGUGGUGCAUGGUUGUCGUCAGCUCGUGUCGUGAGAUGUUGGGUUAAGUCCCGCAACGAGCGCAACCCUCGUUCUAUGUUGCCAGCGCGUAAUGGCGGGAACUCAUAGGAGACUGCCGGGGUCAACUCGGAGGAAGGUGGGGAUGACGUCAAAUCAUCAUGCCCCUUAUGUCUUGGGCUUCACGCAUGCUACAAUGGCCGGUACAAAGGGCUGCAAUACCGUAAGGUGGAGCGAAUCCCAAAAAGCCGGUCUCAGUUCGGAUUGAGGUCUGCAACUCGACCUCAUGAAGUCGGAGUCGCUAGUAAUCGCAGAUCAGCAACGCUGCGGUGAAUACGUUCCCGGGCCUUGUACACAACCGCCCGA
rnacentral:rRNA from 1 species